UUAUAUGGAGAGUUUGAUCCUGGCUCAGGACGAACGCUGGCGGCGUGCCUAAUACAUGCAAGUCGAGCGGA
rnacentral:rRNA from 1 species